rnacentral:rRNA from 1 species
CGCGUAGGUGGUAGUGUAAGUCUGGGGUGGAAUCCCAGGGCUUAACCCUGGAACUGCCUUGGAAACUGUAUUACUUGAGUCAGUGAGGGGAGGGUAGAAUUCCUGGUGUAGCGGUGAAAUGCGUAGAUAUCAGGAGGAAGGCCUGUGGCGAAGGCGGCCCUCUGGCGCUGGACUGACACUGAGGCGCGAAAGCGUGGGGAGCAAACAGGAUUAGAUACCCUGGUAGUCCACGCCCUAAACGGUGGGCACUAGGUGUAGGGCUCGUAAGGGUUCUGUGCCGAAGGGAAACCAUUAAGUGCCCCGCCUGGGGAGUACGACCGCAAGGUUGAA